UUUGGUUCGUUAGCGGUAAAAAUGUUCAAUACUACUUGUAUUUUGAAAAGAAAGUAAGAUAUUGAACCAUCUUGAUUGAUUUGCAGGCCAUGUGUGGUGAGUUGUUGAAUAAUGCCUUGUGUGCGCUUUUGUCACCUAGAACUUGCCCGGUUGGUCUUGAUUGAGUUUUGUUGGAAAAAUGAUCUUAGGCUUUUUUUAUGUUCUUGAAGUCCACUUGGCCUAAGAAUCCCACCUUUGCCUAAUAUAUCCUUAGUUGUCCCCUUUGAGCCUAAAGUAAGUCCUUUUUGAAAAAGUAACCCUCUUUUGAACCCUUCCCUCCUUGAACUUGAGGUUGCGAAAGUUGAGGCUAAAAGCUUAAGUUGGGGGUGUUAUGAAAAACUCAUUAAGUUGGGGGUGUUAUGGAAAAUUCAUUGAAGGGAUGCUUACCUCAUGUGGGCUUGAUAUAAAAAAAAAAGGAAAAAAAAUGAAGAGAGAAAUUAAGGGAUGUAUGGAAAGAGUCUUAAAGAAAGAAAACCUUUGAAAAAGAAAGAAAGAAAAUGAAUAAAUGAGACUUGAAUCCUCCAAAAGUUGAAAAAAUGGUUGCAUGUGGGGCGUCUAGAGUGGAAAUAUGAAAGAAAAAUGAGAAAUAGUGUGGAAUGCAUGGGUUUGAAAAGUGAAGAAAGUAUUAUGAGUUGUUGUAUAAUGUUCAAGGAGGGUGUAGUCACUUCUACCUAAAUGAUAUCCUAACCUUCCCUAAGCCUAUAUUACAAGCUUAACAAAGUCCUUUGAGAUUUCUAACCAAAUGGAGUUGAGUCAAUGUUGAUUGAAGAUAUGGACAAGUCUAUGGUGUGACGUUUGUGUGCAUGAGAUGAUUCUUUGUGAGUGUGAGUCUUGCAUCUUUGUCCCUUGUCUUAUUUAUAUGUGUGUGUGGUUUUGGGACACUUCUUUCUUUUGAGGGCAUGUUAGUUGACAAAGUGGUGAUUUUGAAAAUUCCUAAUUGAGUCAAGUGAGCAUGUGAAAUAUUUCUUCACGAAAACCAGAAAAAAAAUCGUGUCUCCUUUCUCCUUCCAGUACAGUGAACCCAUGCGACUAAACGAUCACGUCAACAUCAGUAGCAGCUCCAAACACCAACAGUGUCCACUGUCCUCCUUUUCUGCAGCAGUCGCGUCCCCAUCCCCCUUUUCCCCUUUUUCAGAAAUUGCCCAUCCCUUUCACUGUUUCCUUGUAAAAGAGCAUAUGAAUUCAAAAUUCCAUCCCCCUAAAUCGCCCCAAUUUUCCCCAGAAAUAGUUCUCUAUGCUCAAGUGAUUUGGGGGCAUGUUUUUUAAGUUGGAUUUUGAGGGUAAGAAUUUACAGAGAAAAAGAAUUGCAAAGCUAUAAAAGACAUAAGAAAUACCUAUUAGUUAGAUAUAUUUUCUCCUUCUUGUUCGUGGGUUGCGGGGGAUUCGACGAAUUUCUCGAAAAUCUUGCUGUGGUGGUGAUAUCGCUCGUCUUAGCUCGUCGCUGUCCCAGAACGCUGCAUUUCAAAAGGUAAUAUUUGUUUCUGUUCGUGUCUUUGGUUUCCUGAUGUGCUUGCCGUUUUAUUCUACUGUAUGAGGCGUUUAAAUGUUAGAAUGUUGAAUUUGUUUCGACUUACUGUUGAUUGCAAAGCAUUGAUAUAAGCUCCUUUGUCGGUUCGAGUGUCUUUUUUUUGGGUUGUUUUGCUCGAAGUCUUAAUGUUUUCCGUAUGGCGCUGAGUUGGUUUUCUUCCUUUUCUUCUUGUUUCACUGUUGUUUUGUUUGGUUGACUACGAAGUUAUGAGUCAGUCAUGUAGUUCGGAAUCAUCUUCUAUAGGUGAUUUCGUUUGCUUUAUUCGAUAUAUGAAGGUUGUCUUCAUUCUCUUGUUACUUCAAAUAGGGUAAUCGCAUGAGUUGAAUGCUUUACUGCCUCACCCUAUGUUCUUAAGGUUAGAUGUUGGAAUCUAUAUUAGUUGUUAGCUUUCUAAAUUUUACCGAGUUUUGCUUGUAUGUUUCACCUUGAAUCAUGCUAAAAGAAGAAGAUUUCUUGUCUAUAUCCGAGUUGGUCUCGACUGCCCCCUCCUUUUUUCCCCUUUCUUCACAGUGGCUUGGGGUAUAUUGUCCCAUUAUCUGACAUGCCUUGUUUUGAUCGAAUCUGUGUCUCCUUUUUUCCUAUUUUAGUCAGAAAUUGCUUGUUAUUCGUAUUUGAUUAAUUCAAAGAGAUGAGACUAUAGCCUUCCUGGUCUUAGCUUAUCUUAGUUUGCAUUUUCCUUUAGCUGGAUUGCCUAUUUCCUCUAAUUUCCCUUGUCUUCUCUCCCUCUGUUAAGCUUAUUAUUUUGAUGAUAAGCUAUGUGCAAUUGAUGAAACAUAAUGCAAUUUGGACCUUUCCAGUUAGUUAUUUUGCUCCCUGCCAUUGAUCCUAACCUGUGAUGUCAAUUGUGUUUCUUUCUUUUGUAUGAUCUCAAGUUAUAUAAUGUGUAUGCUUCACAUGUUGUGACAAGAAUAUAAAUGGUUAAAUUACUACAUGUUGUUUGAUUGUCUGGUUUUCUUUAAGGCAUUAGAAGUGAGUUGAUUGGGGAUAGUUACAUGUUCUUAUUCUUGCCCAUCAUUUGAAUCUUAAGGACAUUGCGAUUAUUUAGAAAAUGCUUCAUCUUUUGCUUCAUUAUUCUGCUAUAAGCUUCUAUGUCAUUCUAGUUUAGUUUCUGGAAUUAAGAGCUUAGCAAGGUGUAGCUUAAUAUGUAAUGUUAUAAGGAUAGUUGGCUCUAUAUAAAUCUAUUACUUUGUUGGUUCAUUUGUGAAGUUCGCUAGUUUUAAUAGUAUAGGUAUAAAUCUGAGUUUCAUCUUUGAUCAAUUUUAUUUAUUUAUUUGUGUCCAGAUUUUAAUUUAGGAUUGAGUUUUCUUUUCAAGUUGCUAAUUCUUUUUUUUUUUUUGCGAGCUUACCACUACGAAGUCCACUGGUUCUUGCAUAUCUGUUGGGCCUUGAAGACCCAAUUUUAUCUUUUCUCGAGUCAGCCCAUAUUGUUUUGUCGAAAAGAUGCUGAUGAACGGGUCCUCGGAGGCUAAAUACAGGGCUAGAAGUUGAAUUCCGAGUGUACGGAAGUCCAAAAGUGGACUGUAUAUGGUUUUAUACACUGAUAUACAACUGGUGUAUACAAAAACGAAAUUGGGUUAAACCCCGAAAGCAGCAGCAAAUUUGGCCCAAGAAAGGUCCAAAUUCAAUUUCUCAUUUACUCUUAAAUAUUUAAUUGUCAUUAUUUAUUGUUUGUUCUUUUUUCUUUAUUUAUUAUUAUUAACUCGAACUUUGGAAUUGUUAAUUAACUUAGUUGAAUUCCCCUAAAGAUGAACUAUUUUUCGUUGUUACUUUUAGUAAAUUUUAUUUUAUCACUCUUUAUUUCUUAUUUAAAUCAAUUGUGUUAAGUUGAAACUCACUUGUAUUCAAUUAAUUUUAGAUAGCUUCUUGGCUUGAUCGAUCAAAUUGGUUUAAGGUAUGAUAUUUAAAAGAGAAACUUGCAUAAAUGACUAUAGUUUAUGGGUUAUCAUAUUUCUCUAGCUAUAAUUACCAUAAAUGCUUUGUGUAGCUAUAAUUAUUAUGAUAAAAUCGUUAUAUUUCAUGUAUUCAAAGUUUAUUUAUUUUGUAUACUAGGAUAUAAUCCAAAAUUAGAUGGCAUUAAAAAUGACAGAAUCCUUUUUUAAAUAUGGCAAUGCCUUAAAUCACGCCAAAUUGCAUUGUCAUACUACCCAUUAUUAAACAACCAUCUAUAUUUGGUUGGAUCUGUUUUAAGAUUAUUUAGUGUGUAAACGCUUUAAAUAUUUAAAAAGUAGUAUCAAUUUUUUGUAAAUAAUACAAAAUAUUUCUGAACAUCUUAUAUUGAUUUGGGUUAAGCUUUGUCUUCAAAUCAUGGAUUAUAUUGUUAUUUAUAGAUUUACAUAUACGGAGCUUCAAUUAGAAAUAUAACACAUGAAAUUCAAUUCACUGCAUAUACAUAAAAAAAAAAAUAGAAUACACAACAAUAUAAUAAUGAUAAACUUGUAAUGAUACAUGAAUAUAUUUGUAUAAAUAAAUACAGUGAAUAUAACAGGUAUACCAACUAAAUAUAUAUUCCUAUCAUAUAAAAAUGGAUACAAUAAAUACAAUUCCCGAUAUAUUGAAUAAUCAUACGGUGAAUACACUUAUACACCUAUUGUUUGAAUAUGGAAUACAUAUAUUUGUUUGAUAACUAAAUGUAUCCAUAUAUAAUAAGAGCAACUUUCACAUAUAGCAAACAUAAAAAUCAUAUUUAUAUGUUAUAACUAUAGUUUGCAUAAUUGCGCUCCAUAACAAAUUUUAUGUUUGUUAUGGAGCUUUUGAUUUGUAUAAUUCGCUAGAUACAUCCAUUUUUAUACAAAUUGUUCAGUUUUGUAUAAAUUCAUUUAUACAUCGAAUUUGUAUAAUAAGAGAUGUAUUUGUAUAAUUAUAAGUGUAUAGGACGAAAAUAUAUGUAUUUGUAUUUGUAUAUAUACUUUUCUCUCGUUUUAUACAAACACAAACGCAUUUUAUACAUUUUAUUUGAUUCGGUAUGCAAUUAACCAUUUUCGGUAUACAAUAAGCUAUUUUAUACAUUUCAGUAUGAAAUGUAUAAAAUGCGUUUGUGUUUGUAUAAAACGAGAGAAAAUUGUAUAUACACAUGCAAAUACAUAUAUAUUCGUCCUAUACACUUAUAAUUAUACAAAUACAAAUCUUAUUAUACAAAUUAUAAUGUAUAAAUGAAUUUAUACAAAACUGAACAAUUUGUAUAAAAAUGGAUGUAUCUAGCGAAUUAUACAAAUCAAAAGCUCCAUAACAAAUAUAAAAUUUGUUAUGGAGCGCAAUUAUGCAAACUGUAGUUAUAACAUAUAAAUAUGAUUUUUAUGUUUGCUAUAUGUGAAAGUUGCUCUUAUUAAAUUCCUUCACACCAUUCUUUUGCAUUUUUAAAAAAAAAACUUUAAACGUAAUUUUCAAUUGAAAUGAUUUUGGGACUUGCCCACAAUAUCUAUUUUAUCUUAGGAAAAAUUAAAGUAAUAUAUCAAAAAAGAUUAAUUUUUUUUUUUUAAAUGAGUUUGAAGAAAUUGCAGAUAGUGCUACUAAAAAAAGAAUUCUUAAAAUUUUGUGUCUUAAUUUCAUAAAUUGAUUAUGAUGAUUCUAUUAUUAAAGUUCUAAUGUUAAUCUAUUUUUACAAACUUGAUUUAUUUUUAGCGCCUUUAAUUUAUUUCAAAUGUUUUAAUCUUUAUUUUGACAAAAUUAACUAAAUUAUUUUAAUUGCUUUAGUUCUUUUCCUUUCAAGUGAUUUUUUAAAAUAUUACAUAUUUAUAUAUAUAAAAAUGAAAUAAAAAUAAAAGAAGUAAGCAAGCAAAAUAAAGUAAAAUAAUCUUUCUUUACUUGUUCAUUUCUUUUCAAAGUUAGUUAAAAAUAUUUUGGUCAAGUCAUAGGAUAACCACGUAUUAGCGGGCACUUCAAAUGUUCUAAAAACCUUCUUGAAGUGUAAAUGAAAAUCUCUUAUCCAUUUUUCUAAAUUUAUAAAGACUUAGUCUAUUAGAGUCUUUUAAAAUUAAGUUUUCUUAAUUUCUUUAAAUUAAAAAAUUAAGUGGCGACUCUUUUCUUAGUGAUUUCUCAAAUUGUUUAUUGAACAUUUCAAAAAAUGAUUUUUCGAAAGAUUGUAAAAUUACGACACAACAAAGUGUAUUAUGUUAAUUUUUUUGUUUUGAAUUUAGAACUUAGGUUAUCUAUUAAGUCUUCUGACGACAUUAUAUUUACUAGUUUUUUGGCACGUGCGUUGCACGUGAUUAUCAAUUCAGAAAAUACAUGUUAUGGUAAAUAGUAUUGCUUAUUUUAAGUGGAGAUUUGAAUAAUAAGCUUAACACAAAAUAAUAUUGUAGAUUAUUCUGUGAAUGUUCAAUGUUCAACGUGGAUUGUCAUAUAAAUUUCUUUUUCACGCGAACCUAAGAAGAUGGUGAAUGAAAAAAUUUAUUAGUUAAAUACAAUAGUGUAUAUAUAUUUAUUUCAAUUUGAUGAGGUUCAAUCAUGUAAUUAGUCGUAUCUCACUAAAAUUACCUUAUAGACGGCAUUUGUUGUGUACUUUUCUUGUAAUUUAAUUAAAAUAUGCUAAAUUGAAAAAUAGAUAUCAAUUAUUUUUUAUAAUAUUAGUUAAGGACAUAUGUUUAUUAAUUAAUAUAUUAUCAAAAGCCAAUCUACGUCUUAAAUAUUCCAUUUUAAUAUCAUUUAUAAAGGCUCUUGUUUGUCUAAUAUAAAUUUUUAAUUAUAGAUAAUUUAUUUUUAUUUUUAAAAUUCAAUAAACCCUUAUGAUUAUACUUGUGCAACCAAACACUACAUUGGUAAUAACACUAUAAUUAUAUUGUGGCAACAAACAAGUUAAUGUAAUUACUAGGUUGUGUAAUUACUAGGUUGUGUAAUUACUAGGCUGAUAAUUAUUGUUGAUACCCAAUUUUGACCAUCUACAUUAUAGAUUAAUCAUCGAGUUUCUUUAAUUUUUCAAAUGAUUUAAAAUAAUUAGUUUUAUGAAAUUCAGUUAUUUUUAUAUAAUUUUGUCACUUUUUGGAAUUUAAUUUAUAUAUAUAUAUUAUAAUUUUGUAUAUAAUAAGUAAAUUUUAUAAACAUUUGAAAAUCAUCUCAAAAGAUGUUAAAUUUUUAGUUAAAUAUUUCAUUAAAUUAGUUUAGUUUAAAUUAUGGUUAUAAUUUUGAGUCAAAUAGUUUAUAUUUAGGUUUAAUAUUUUAUUUCGUUAAGAUUAAGAAGAUUGAUAGUUAAUUAUAUUAAUUUGUUCUAUUAAAAUUCUAGUCGAAUUCACCAAACCAACUCAAUUUGGCUACAAUUUUAGCUUCAUUUGGCUAAAUUGUUAAUUUAUUUGGCUAUACCUUGAUUACAAAUCUAACCCCUCUCUUGGCCAGUUUUUUUAGCAUGUUUAUAUAUUCAAUCAGCUUUGCCUAUCCCAAGUAUUAUUGGUUGAGCAUGAAGAGAUAAGGGAGGACGUGGAGUCCCAAAGUUCAUUGAUCCCUGUCACACCUAGGGAUCAUGUGUUCCAAGCUAACCCCUCUAAUUAUUCUCCUUCCCAUUCUAAUUCCUUUCUUUUGCAGGAUUCUAAUGAAGCCCUUUUGAUGGGACUGCCAAGUAGAGUGCCCCCUCUCCGGGGUAUUGAGCACCAAAUUGACUUCGUGCCGGGCUCACAUUAGCCAACCAAAUCGGCUUAUCGAAGUAAUCCGGGAGAAAUCGAAGAGCUACAAAGGCAAGUUAAGGAACUCCUUAACAAGGGCUAUGUGAGGUAAAGUACAAGUCCAUGCGUUGUUCCGGUUCUAUUGGUUUCAAAGAAAGAUGAAGCAUGGCGCAUGUGUGUUGAUUGGUGGGCCAUCAACAAAAUCAUCAUAAGGUAUUGUCAUCCUAUCCCUAGAUUAUUAUAUUUUGUUAAGAUUAAGAAGGUGGUUAACUGGGGGAAAAAAUCAAAGAAAGAUACAACAUCUAAGAAAGCGUCCCAAUUCUUUUUGAAGAUGCGGGCCCUACGAAAAUAAAAUAAUCAUCAAAAAGUUAGAUUCAAAACUAAAACUAAGUAAUAAUACUCUAAUUAGCUAGAAUUUUCCGUCAAAAUCAUGAAACUUCUAGUUCAAACACAUGCAAAACUAAAAUAGAAAAUAUAUCUAGAUGAACCCUUCUUCACUCAUGCUUGUCAUAUGCUCAUGAAUAUCGUCCAAUCAAGUCUUUGUUCUUUUAUUCUUAAAUAGGAACCCAAUGAAGAAGCUUGAAUGAGACAAUUCAGAUAGAGGAGACAGACGUAUAAAGUAAAAUUUGGCAAAAAAAGACAAAGUAAAGGGAUUAAACUUUUGAUGCCUUUUCCCCUACUUCAUCGAGUGAACGAAGCUGCUCUAAAUAAGACAAACUUCAGAGGAAAAUUUGGUUAAGGUGUAGGAGUUGAGUAAUUGUAAGACAGUUGUGUCAAAGUACAUACACGAGGCUAUAAAGUACAAUUGUUAAAGCAUUUUGUACAGACACCUACAACUGUAUUCCUACAACCUCUCAUUUUUUGGCUUAUAAUUGUUUGGCAAAGAGAAGUGUGCACACUAGUAUUCAUCAAUCAAUAUAUAUAUUUGGAAAUCAUCUCAAAAGAUUUUUAAUUCUAAGUUAAAUAUUUCAUUAAAUUAGUUUAGUUUAAAUUAUGGUUAUAUAAUUUUGAGUCAAUUGGUUUAUUAUAUUUAAUUUUAUUAAGAUUAAUAAGAAGGUGGUUAGUUAAUUUGUUGUAUUAAAAUUGUAGUCGAACGAACUCAAUUUGACUAAAUUGUUAAUUUAUAUGACUAUUCCUUAAUUACAAAUUUCUUGCCAUGAAAAGGCCAAAAUUGGGCCAGCCCAAUUCCUGUAAAACCUAGCCCAACGUUCACAAUACCUACAGAUAGAACAAAUGGCACAACAUGUAAUCUCUUUUUAUUUAUUGGCAAUAUUUAUAGAGAAAAUUUUACAUAUAGCAAAUAAAAAAUUGCUAAUUGUAUGCUAUAGCAAACUUUGUAAAAUUGCAGUCCGUAGCAACAGUAUAGUUUGCUAUGGACGUGUCUUUCUGUAUAUUCGCUUGUCAUUUUUUUUUAUAUACAUUUUGAUAGUUUAAAAAAGAAAAGGCGUUAAUUUCGGUUUUAAAAAAAAGGAAAAAAAUCACUGAAGUCACGCACGUUCUGUUCCAUUCGAAUUCCCUUCCGUCUUCGUCAUCUUCAACAGUAAGAACUCCAUUGUAACUCAAUUUAGNNNNNNNNNNNNNNNNNNNNNNNNNNNNNNNNNNNNNNNNNNNNNNNNNNNNNNNNNNNNNNNNNNNNNNNNNNNNNNNNNNNNNNNNNNNNNNNNNNNNGGACAAUGACAAUUGUUACGUUGAUUAUACAAUUGAGAGGGUGGUUUUUAAAGAAAGUUCAUCGUAUGAGGAGUUGUAUAAUGUUAUUGCAAUGCAACUCGGUGUUGAUACAAAUGUGAUUAAGCUGAAAAUUGAGUAUANNNNNNNNNNNNNNNNNNNNNNNNNNNNNNNNNNNNNNNNNNNNNNNNNNNNNNNCAAUGUUGAUUCACAACGACAUGGGUGUUAGAGUGUAUAUCAUGCUUAAAAAGGCUGCAGAUGACUUCAACAAGUAUCCAAUUUGUAUAAGCAAAAUGGAUAAUAGUAGCAAUAUCACUGAACUGUGUGAAAGUUCAAAUCAGGAGAAUGAUAUGGUUACAUCAAUUUGUAAUGAUGGUAUUGCUGAUUUUGAGACUAUGCAGCUGUCAAUUGGUGAAUUGGUAGAGCCGCUUUGUGUCUUGGGGUCAGGGAGCUGCGAUGGAGUCAUUUCAAAUCCUUGUAAUAAGUGCGUGGAGAUUGACCAGGUGUAUAAGAACAAAGCCACUUUGAAAUCUGUGAUGAAAAAUUAUGCAAUUGAAAAUAGAUUUCAAUAUAGAACUGUGAGGUCAAAUGCAAUCAGGUAACUAGUUUAUACAAACAAAUACAUUAGUGUUUAUGGUGUUUUAGUUAUUUGUAUAUUGAUAUGUUGUGCUGUAUUUGCUGAUGUAGUUAUACGCUGGAAUGUAUUUCUGAUGAAUGUGAGUGGUUGAUGAAAGCAUCAAAUAUCAGCAAGUCUAGAAUGUUUAGGAUCCAAGCAUUUUUAAUACAGAUCAUACUUGUCCUUUGAAGGAUAAAGUGUAUUCACAAAAACAUGCAACAAACAUGCUGAUUGGUGGGAUCGUUAAGCCUAAGCUUGUUGAUCACAAGAGAAAAUAUACACCUUCUGAUAUUCGGAGUGAUGUAAAGAUAUAUUUGGGAGUUGAUGUAAAUUACUCAUUGGCUUGGAGGGCUAAAGAAAAGGCUCUGAUUUCAUUGAGGGGUACCACAGCUGCAUCUUACAACAAACUUCCAGCAUACUUGUAUAUGAUGGAUAUUACAUAUACAGGCUCACAUAUACGUCUAAAGAAAACAGACAAAUAUGAGUUCUUGUAUCUUUUUGUUGCAUUGAAUAAUUGUAUACAAGGCUUUGAUCAUUGUAGGCCUGUCAUAGUUGUUGAUGGAAGUCACCUAAGAGGACCGUAUAAUGGAACAUUUGUGGCUGCAAGCACAAUGGAAGGAGCAAGUAUGUUUCAUUGUGUUUUUGAAUGUAUAUUUUUGAUUUUAUGUUAAUUUGUAUGUAAAUAAAAAUGUAGGACAUAUUUGGUUUGGUUAUUUUUCAAUUUGGAUUUGAUCUCUUGCAUUGCGUUGGAUUUAGACAUUGAACCUGCAACCUCCCCAAAAUCCUGAGUUAAACCCAAGGAAAACGAUGGGCGUUCAACACUAUUUUCGACAUGCAAGGGUAUACCUCUUGUGAAUCUUUUAGAUGGAGACUGGACAUCCAUUGUUUGAAGGAAAACUCUGUAUGGAUUAUGAACUGAUGUGAAAAAUAGCCUGAAAAAACUGAAAAAAAUAGACAAAAAUUUAAAUUAAUCGAUUGAGAUAAGUUUUGGCGGUACCUGAAAUUUUUGAAGGGAUUUUGAAACUGCGAUUGAAAACGUGCUGGUGGAGAUUUGAAAUUUCACACUAAUUUUAGGGAGAAAAUGAAGGAAAUAAGAGAUAUAAACGAGAAGAAGAUAUUGUAUAAAUGGAAGAGAAUAACGUCAACUUUUUUUUUUACUUAUACACAUCGGUGGGGCCCAUUAAUAGCAAACUGAUCGAGACUUUGCUCCUUAAAGGAAAUAAAUGAAACGGUAGCUACUGUAUUUAUUUUACAUUAAUAGUUUGCCAUUAUGUACAAUUAUCCCUUGUUUUUAAUACGAAUAAAUGACUAAUUGCGUGGUAAGAUGAUUAAAGUUUAAACACGUAUAUAUAGAAUUUCAUUUCGUCAAAAUAUACAUUGCAAGAUAAACAUGCUUUUACAAUUGAUAUGAAUGUACAAUAUAAGCUAUGAUGAGUUAAGUCAAAUACAAAAUUACUUUUAGCUAAGAUUCUUACGUGUUAAGAAGUAUAUGUUAAAAUAUUGAAUUUCGAAUCAAUAACUCAAUGAUAUCUCAAAUUCAUAUAAUUCAAACUGUGAAUCUAUCUAAUCCUUAAAACAUUAUCAAUUAUUCAGAAUUCAAAUGGUCCAUAAAUUCAAUGAUUAUAUUAUUAAAUUCAAAUUGUAAAUCUGCUUAUACUUAAAAUGUUAUCAAUUACACCUAGAAAAAAAAAAGAAAUCAAUUAGAAAUAUAGUUUUGACGUGUACUAUAUGCUUAAUGUAAUCUUGGUCUAGUCAUAAAGUGAUCAAUGAAUAAAUGGAAAAAUGCCAAAGUUUAAAGAUUAUGAGUUAAUCUCUUGUACUUUAAUUUUUAAGAUAAAAGGAACAGUAAUUUUGGCUUAAAAGACAAGUAAUCAUUUCUUAUAUCCAAAAGAAAGACCAAAAGGAAACAAGUAGUACACCCUCGGCUUUAAUAUUUAUUAUAUGGUCAUAGAAGUUAUAAUUUAAAAAGUAAGAUCAUUGUAAUUAAAUAAUUAAAAUCUUUGGAAGGCAAUACAUAAAAUGAGGCCACAUAAGUUCUACGAAGUUACGUGCCUAAUAUCAACAUUUUAGUUUGACUUUGAAAAUAGUACUUAUAUACCUCUCAUUUUAAGUGACUUUCUUGAUUAGUUUUUUAAUUUGUUAAAAAGAGCAGAAGAGAUAUUUCUAUAUUUGAUGUUAAGAUUAAGAAGUUUGGUAGUUAAUUAUAUCAAUUUGUUCUAUUAAAAUUCUAGUCGAAUUCACCAAACCAACUCAAUUUGGCUACAAUUUUAGCUUCAUUUGGCUAAAUUGUUAAUUUAUUUGGCUAUACCUUGAUUACAAAUCUAACCCCUCUCUUGGCCAGUUUUUUUAGCAUGUUUAUAUAUUCAAUCAGCUUUGCCUAUCCCAAGUAUUAUUGGUUGAGCAUGAAGAGAUAAGGGAGGACGUGGAGUCCCAAAGUUCAUUGAUCCCUGUCACACCUAGGGAUCAUGUGUUCCAAGCUAACCCCUCUAAUUAUUCUCCUUCCCAUUCUAAUUCCUUUCUUUUGCAGGAUUCUAAUGAAGCCCUUUUGAUGGGACUGCCAAGUAGAGUGCCCCCUCUCCGGGGUAUUGAGCACCAAAUUGACUUCGUGCCGGGCUCACAUUAGCCAACCAAAUCGGCUUAUCGAAGUAAUCCGGGAGAAAUCGAAGAGCUACAAAGGCAAGUUAAGGAACUCCUUAACAAGGGCUAUGUGAGGUAAAGUACAAGUCCAUGCGUUGUUCCGGUUCUAUUGGUUUCAAAGAAAGAUGAAGCAUGGCGCAUGUGUGUUGAUUGGUGGGCCAUCAACAAAAUCAUCAUAAGGUAUUGUCAUCCUAUCCCUUUCGUAAGGUAUUGCCAUCCUAUCCCUAGAUUAUUAUAUUUUGUUAAGAUUAAGAAGGUGGUUAACUGGGAAAAAAAUCAAAGAAAGAUACAACAUCUAAGAAAGCGUCCCAAUUCUUUUUGAAGAUACGGGCCCUACGAAAAUAAAAUAAGCAUCAAAAAGUUAGAUUCAAACCUAAAACUAAGUAAUAAUAUUCUAAUUAGCUAGAAUUUUCCGUCAAAAUUGUGAAACUUCUAGUUCAAACACAUGCAAAACUAAAAUAGAAAAUAUAUCUAGAGGAACCCUUCUUCACUCAUGCUUGUCAUAUGCUCGUGAAUAUCGUCCAAUCAAGUCUUUGUUCUUUUAUUCUUAAAUAGGAGGCCAAUGAUGAAGCUUGAAAGAGACAAUUCAGAUAGAGGAGACAGACGUAUAAAGUAAAAUUUGGCAAAAAAAGACAAAGUAAAGGGAUUAACCAUGACUUUUGAUGCCUUUUCCCCUACUUCAUCGAGUGAAUGAAGCUGCUCCAAAGAAGACAAACUUCAGAGGAAAUUUUGGUUAAGGUGUAGGAGUUGAGUAAUUGUAAGACAGUUGUGUCAAAGUACAUACACGUGGCUAUAAAGUACAAUUGUUAAAGCAUUUUGUACAAACACCUACAACUGUAUUCCUACAACCUCUCAGUUUUUGGCUUAUAAUUAUUUGGCAAAGAGAAGUGUGCACACUAGUAUUCAUCAAUCAAUAUAUAUAUUUGGAAAUCAUCUCAAAAGAUUUUUAAUUUUAAGUUAAAUAUUUCAUUAAAUUAGUUUAGUUUAAAUUAUGGUUAUAUAAUUUUGAGUCAAUUAGUUUAUUAUAUUUAAUUUUAUUAAGAUUAAUAAGAAGGUGGUUAGUUCAUUUGUUGUAUUAAAAUUGUAGUCGAACGAACUCAAUUUGACUAAAUUGUUAAUUUAUAUGGCUAUUCCUUAAAAUUACAAAUUUCUUGCCAUGAAAAGGCCCAAAAUUGGGCCAGCCCAAUUCCUGUAAAACCCAGCCCAACGUUCACAAUACCUACAGAUAAUACACAAUUCCAAAUUGGGCCAGCCUUACCGACCCAAUUCGUGUAAAACCCAGCCCAGCCCACAUUCAACUCCAACCAUUUCACGUCUAUACACUACAAAAAUCGAUAAUUCCAACAUCACAGAGGACAGCUACACUUCCAACAGUGUAACGUUCGCCAUUCCAGUCGCGUGGUCUUCCUCCUUCACCUCGUACAGCAGGUGUCCUCGUACGCUUAGAGCCGUCCGAAUCAAGAUUCGGUUCUUAGGGUACUAAUACGGUGGACUUUGAAACGCAGUUGAUUUGUGGGCAGAACUCAUAGCUGCUGAACAAGAACACUUUGAUCGUCCCUCUCAACAAAUUCAAGAACAAAAAUAUUGCUGUUGUAUAUCGGCGGCAAAAGCCCCAUAGUAUUACCCCCAAAGAUUCUGAAGGGUUCUCUAUUUUUCCCAUUACCAAGAAUUCUAUUUUGUUGGUUUGGUGGUUCGUUGAAGGUUUUGAACUUCUUACUUUGAUUUGUUUUGUUUUCAGGAGGCAAUCGACUUUGAAUUCGGGUAAUGAAAAUCGCCUGAGUUUUCUACCUGUUGAAUCAGUUGGAAUCGUUCCCUUUCCACCAGGUUUUGUCUUUUUCCCUAAUUUCUGUUUGUCCCUCUAAAUUUCUCAUUGACUACCCUUUCUUUUACAAAAUUGGUAUCAAGAUCAAUCUAAUUGGAUGUACUUAAAAGGAUUAUGCGUGUAUGACUUGCAUGCUAAGCUUAUCAAGAUAGUUGUAUCCAUUCAGGCAAAAGUUUUCUUGAAUUUCUUGUGACUAAUUUAUUACAAUUUUUAAUACAUUAAUUAGCUCACCUAUUCAAACAAUGAUAUUCUAUAAUUUCUUAAUUAAGGGGAAGCUAAAAAAAGUAAAUCCACCGAUUAAUGCCAGAAGUAUUAAGAUCAAGGUUAACACUCUAAUAAGAAAACCAACAAAAGGGAAGAAGAAUGUAUAAAAUCAUUUGUCAAGCAUUAAUCUAAACUAUCAACUUUGUUUUUAUUUUUAAGAGUCUGUUCUUGGGAUGAAAUAACAUGGACUCUUUUAGUAUAGCAGACCCCACAACCGGCCCCUUUCCCACCUGAAAAAGAACAAAAAGGAGACUAAAAAGAAGAGAGAAAAACAGAAAUUUGUAGCUAUGUCAGCAAGGUUCUCAAAUAAGGAUGCUUAUGCACUGUGGCUCUAUAUAGUGUUUUACAUACAUAUAACUUAUCCCCUCCUAAAAAGUUGUUAGUUUUCCCAGUUGCUGCAAAACUCACUAUCAGCUGAUUUGUUAUGAGCAAUUUUCUUUAACUUUUUGAUCAGUGUAAAUAAUCUGGUGUCCAUUAAGCUUCUGAGUUUCUAAAUCCUUAUCUUGUUUUUGUGUAAUAUGACGACAAACAAUCAGCACUUUUUAGGAAUGUUUGGCUGUGUAAAUUUCAUAUAUUAUUUUAGCAGAGCCCUUGCCUCCAGCAUAGUGUCCAGGCAGAUAUAAAAUGUAUAUUAUAUCUUUAAUGUUCUUUUUAUGUAGUAAUAAAGCUUUUUUGAUUGGCUAAUUCAACUUGAAAUGAGCUCUUCCAAAAUUGAGACUUUAGCUAUGUGUUUGAGAAUGUGAUUAAAGGCUGUGUAAAUUUCAUAUAUUCCGCCAUUCCAGUCGCUUUCAUCUCUUUGAAUCCUUUGUUACUGUCCAAAAAUCGUUUCUGUUGCUGUCCCAAUUUUGGAUUCCCCAAAUUCAGAGUUAGGGGUUGGAUAAAAUAGGGAAAAAAGAUAGAAAAGGGCUAGAAAAUACUGCUUAACCGACCUUAGUUUAGCAAAUACACUAAAAGAGGUUCUUUCUUUUCUUGUUCGUUGCUUGUUGGGUUCAUCCGAAUUCUUAGUCGCAUUUCGCUCGUUUGUUCCGGUUCGCUGCCCAUCAUAACAUAAACGCCUUUUCUUAGUUUUGCUCUGUUCAGGUCCUAAGUUAUUCUAUGUUUUCCGUUUAGGCAUUUGUGAUUAUGUUUGAGUCGUCAUGUGUUAAGUUUAUUCAUAUCAAUGGUAGUUUUUUCCUCUGUUCUACUGGAUGAUUAGUUUAUUUUACAAAAAUGUGAUAUAGCUCUUAGUUUUUUUCCGCUUCUCCAAAUUUAGGGCUUAGCUGGUAGUUUUGUUUUUCUGCAUAAACUUUAUGUUCCUCUUUCCGUUGGUUGACAUCUUAUGCUUGAGUUUAUGUCUACUUGAAUGGCUAAUUUCUCAUUCGAUUUACUGUUCUUCCUUUAAAGGUUAUUGUUAUGAGAUAUAUACCUAUGUAUUGCUUAUGUUGCUAGUUGUUAUGCUUGUAAGCUUGAAAAAUGUCUUCUUAUGUAGAUUUUUGCUUGAAAUAUUGAAGGUUUAUACCUCUUUGAUUUCACUGAUGUGGUUGCUACCACUGUUUAAUCUAAUCAUGUUGUCUAUGAUUUGUGAUUUAGUUUGAAAUUCUAAAUUUAGUUUCUAUAGGUGGGUUUGUUUUCCUAACAUGUCGUGGGCUGAUUACUUCAUUUGUAUCUUGACUAGUGUAAACAGGAUGAAUCGGAUAACUUACUGCCUUACUACUCUUUUACAUUGUGCCUGCUGGUUGAAUAUCUCUUGUUCUAAUUUCAGGUAUGUUUGAAGCAUGUCUCUUUGAUUGAUUUACUCGUAUCUUAGUAAAAUACUUGUUUAUAAGUUAAUAAGAUCUGAGGCUUUAAAUUUACCACUUGGGUUCAUCUUGCAUUCUAUUUCGUGUUGGAUUUCCAAAAUAUUUUGUGGUCAAAUGCUGUUAUGGGUUGUGUUUCCUCGUCUUAGCUUGUUCGCUGUUUUGUGGUUUAACAUAAAGGGCUUAUUUUAACUCAAAGUUAACACCACAAGUGGAUCAGAUUCUUAUUUUCUUAAGGUUUCCAUCUUAUUGCUUGUUGUUUAAACGUAAGGAUUGAGUGUUUGCUUAGUAUUUCAGUUCCAAAUAUUGAUAACCCAUUUUGAUGGUUCAAUUUCUCCUGAUUCUCUUAUCUUAUAAUGUUUAGUUGUAUUCAUUGCUUGUCUAUUUUGAAUCAUUCAUACUUGUUUGGUUUGAAUUCUCGUUGUUGUAAUCAUAGUUUUUUCCCAUCCCGAGUUCCCUUUCUUUUGGUUCAAAAUAUGUGAGGUCUUUAAAUUAUCGAUGUUGCUAUUUGGUUUGGUUUCAUGAAAGUUUAGGCUUAAAUGAUAAUUGAAGUAAGCUUUGGAAGAAUAAUGAAUACAUCAACUUUGUUACUUUAGAUUCAUUUACAGUGCUCAAUUUAGUGAGUUAUUUAUUUAUUUAUUUAUUUUUUUUGAUAACCGAGAAAUCCGUCUGUGACCCGCCCUUUGGACCAAUCACAGCCUUCUAAACUCGGUGGAUAAUGGGCCCGCCCCUCUACCCUUCUCCACUUAAAUACCGGGCUACGCUUUGCAUGGUGUGGGGCUUGAACCUGUGACCUAAGCCACAAAUCCUCCACCUUUUGCCACUUGAGCUAGGCCUUGGGGGCGAGUUAUUUAUUUUUCUCCUUUAAGGAUGCCUCAUUUUUAUACCAUUUCAAGCUCCCAUCUAUUACAGUAGCCUAUAAUUUAAUUUCUUGAAGUCCUUCAAAUUCUUUUUCUUGCAUUAAAGUACUAAUUCUCCUUUUCUUAUUUUUGUUUGAUGCAUGUGAAUUUGCCUUGAGUCCACUGGACUCCUCCCACAUUCUUAGUAUGUACUAAGGGUUGUAUGCAAGUCAAAAUUGUGGAUCCCUUCCAUUUGGCUUAAGGUGUAUACAAUAAGUCCUCUCUAUGCAGCACCCUAUAGACCCUGCAAUGCACAAAUUUGUGCAAUACUUCGUGACACUGUAAUUCUUUUCCUGAAUGCACUGGCUGCCCUAUAAUUGACCAUGAAGUUUAAGAAUUCUUUUUGUUGUUGUUGAUACUUGAUAAAGUUGAGUAAAGUUUAAGAAAUCAGUUCAUUGACAAGUACAAAAUGCUGAAGGUGCAGGGUUAGCUCCAUUCAAUUGUUGGCUUUGUUUGAGAGGGAAUAAAAAAAUGGCUCUUCGCAUAGAAAAACAACUGGUUUAAUUUUAUUUGCCUUUUUCUGGUGGUGAAAUUAGUUGUCCCACCACUCGUUCUAGAAAUAUAUAUGCCUUCUUGCGCCUUUGUUAAUCUAUAAUUCUUGACCGUAUAGAUUUUCAUGAUUAUGGCAUGCAUACUGUUGCAUCUUCAUCUCUAUAUUGUGCAGAGAAGUUAGGGUGGUUCGGAAAAUUCUGGCACAUCACAGUGCUCUAACUAAAUAAUUACAAUAUCUUGCAGGAGAAUGCACAAAAAAUUGCUUAAUAUUUAUCUUUUCCAAUCGACGGGUGAAGAAUUGCAAUUAUGCAGGUCUUCCUCCAGGAAGGUCUUUGCACUUCUCUCAACACUUCUCUCAGGUAUUCAAAACAAGCUUCUUUUUUUUGGGGGGGGGGAUUUGAACUACGGCUCUAUAAUUGUCGGUAUGCUGCCACCAUGAAGCUCUCCCUUGAAACUUACUGUUUAAAUGUUGAUCAAUUUGCAGGUUAUGGAUGCAGGAUUAGUGCUGAGUUUUCUAACAGGUUCUUUGGCACUCUUUAAGCAUGUUGUUGAGGCUACGAAGUACUUAGCAUUAUAGUCAGUUUUGGUUAGUUUCAUCUUAUGCUCAAUUACUAUUUUCUAAGAUUGUUUUUUCCUAUCAAACUACUUCCUAAUGACAUUUGCCUUCUCAAUCUUUUCCUAUUGAUAAUAGUAAUAUCAAACUAUUACUAUUCUUUUGCUUUGGUAUUCUCUUUUGAUAUUUGGACUGUGAGGACACAAUCUCAUUUUCAGUUGGGGGUGCCUCCCUUGUACUCAUUUUGUUGAUUGUUUCUGCAUACUGNNNNNNNNNNNNNNNNNNNNNNNNNNNNNNNNNNNNNNNNNNNNNNNNNNNNNNNNNNNNNNNNNNNNNNNNNNNNNNNNNNNNNNNNNNNNNNNNNNNNNNNNNNNNNNNNNNNNNNNNNNNNNNNNNNNNNNNNNNNNNNNNNNNNNNNNNNNNNNNNNNNNNNNNNNNNNNNNNNNNNNNNNNNNNNNNNNNNNNNNNNNNNNNNNNNNNNNNNNNNNNNNNNNNNNNNNNNNNNNNNNNNNNNNNNNNNNNNNNNNNNNNNNNNNNNNNNNNNNNNNNNNNNNNNNNNNNNNNNNNNNNNNNNNNNNNNNNNNNNNNNNNNNNNNNNNNNNNNNNNNNNNNNNNNNNNNNNNNNNNNNNNNNNNNNNNNNNNNNNNNNNNNNNNNNNNNNNNNNNNNNNNNNNNNNNNNNNNNNNNNNNNNNNNNNNNNNNNNNNNNNNNNNNNNNNNNNNNNNNNNNNNNNNNNNNNNNNNNNNNNNNNNNNNNNNNNNNNNNNNNNNNNNNNNNNNNNNNNNNNNNNNNNNNNNNNNNGUUGGAGAAAUGAUCUUAGGCUUUCUUUGAUGUUCUUGAAGUCCACUUUGUCUAAAAAUCCCACCUUUGCACUAAAUAUAUCCUUAGUUGUCCCCUUUGAGCCUAAUCCUUUUUAUUGGCAACCACAUUAUGCCUUAUCCUUUUUGAAAAAGUAACCCUCUUUUGAACCCUUCCCUCCUUGAACUUGAGGUUGUGAAAAAAAUCGAGGCUAAAAACCUAAGUUGGUGGUGUUAUGGGAAAUUCAUUGAAGGGAUGGAUGCUUACAACAUGAGGGCUUGAUAGAAAAAAAAAAUGAAGAGAGAAAUUGAGGGUUGGAUGGAAAGUCUUAAAGAAAGAAAAAGCUUUGAAAAAAGAAAGAAAGAAAAUGAAUAAAUGAGACUUGAAUCCUUUAAAAUUUGAAAAUGGUUGUAUGUGGGGCAACUAGAGUAGAAAUAAGAAAAGAAUAAUGAAAAAUAGUGUGGAAUGUGCAUGGGUUUGAAAAGUGAGGGUUGGAUGGGAAGUCUCAAAGAAAGAAAAAGCUUUGAAAAAGAAAGAAAGAAAAUGAAGAACCUAAAUGUUAUCCUAACCUUUCCUAAGCCUAUAUUACAAGCUUAACAAAGUCCUUUGAGAUUUCUAACCAAAUGGAGUUGAGUCAAUAAUGAUUGAAAAUCUGGGCAAGCCUAUGGUGUGACAUUUUGUGUACAUGAGAUGAUUCUUUGUGAGUGUGAGUGUUGCAUCUUUGUUGUCCCAUGUCUUUUUUAUAUGUGUGCGGUUUUGGGACGCUUCUUUCAUGUGAGGGCAUGUAAACCGAAAAAGUGGUGAUUUUGAAAAUUCCUAAUUGAGUCAAGUGAGCAUGUGAAAGAGUUAAUGAGUUGAGUCAUCUCUUGAGUUUGAGUUGUUGUCACUUAAAUGAUUCUUGGUUUUUAAAACUGUAAUUAGAAUGUGAGGAUUUCUUAUGUGAAAAAAGUUUGCAUGUGGACUAUUUGUUAGUACCAACCGGAGCCAUUACCUUUGUGCUUAAUUGAGAAAGGGAAGCUGAUUUGUGGUGUGUCUUGAAAUAUGAGCCUCUUGUGUUCGAACAUUACUAAGAGUUGGGUAUUUUUAUUAACGACGACCGCUUACUCUGUUAACUUGUUUUGAGGGUGAUUUGAGCGUCAUCAAUUGUUUAAGAUUUUGGAAAAGUUUUAAACAUGUGUGUAUAUUACUUCCUAGUGAUGCAAAUCUCCAGCUUCUUUUCACUGUUGUGGAGAAUACACCAUCUGAAACAGUUUGAUCAAAUUGCACUGUUGGUCUUGGAGAUCUGGCAGUUCGUUUUUCUAAUCUGUUAGAGCCAUGGACAGAGCAUAUGUAUGCAUGAUUAAGAGAUCGUUCAUUCUCAUCUAAUACUUACUGAAUGACAUGAAGGUUUGGCUGGACUAUCAAACAUUUAUACUUAGCUUUCAUGUGUAAGAAUUUUUAUCAUCUUGAUUUGCGUGUAUCAUUAUUAGGUGGAAGUUUGUGUAAAUGAAAUGGCCAACUGUUUGGAAGAUGAAGAUGAAAGAAUUUCAAAUCUUGCCAAAACUUUCUUUCAUGAGUUGUCAAAGAUAAGGUAGUAUAUUUACUCAACUUUUCUUUCAUCAGUUCCCUAAUAAAGAAGUUCAUCUAUCUAAUCUCUUUCUAGUCUUUCUACUAUUGAGCUUCUUUCAUCUGUUAUUGCGUGUUUUGGUGUGCACGUCACUAUAAUACUUGUUUUUUUCCUUUACACUUAAUGUUUAGUGGGAACUUUUGCAUUGUUCCCGUCUUUUUGUUUAGUUCCAAUUUCUUUCAUUUGUUCUUGACCUUCAAUUAGGAGGAACAAAGGUAUUUUAGACUGGUUCCUCUUUUUUGGUUAGUUAUUAGGGUAUAUUUUCCUAAGAUUGUCGUAGAUCCAAGUGGAAACUUUUGAUUAUUGCAACUCUGUAAAACACAUGACCCUCUUUCUAAGAAAGUGUUCUUCUGCAGUUUUCUUGAACAAAGUAUGCGUUGAAACAGACACGUGGGAAAUUUGGUCUUUGUUCAAAGAUAGUACGUUGAGCAAUUGGUCUUGACCUGAUCAUCUGACGUUCCUCUGAUUCUACUUUUUUGAGUCUUUAGUUAUUUGUAUUAUAUUCCCUGUCUUGUUUCUGUUCUCUGUAGGAGGUGGUUGCGAGGGUGGUGGAUUAUUUCUUUGGAAUAAGAGAAUAUUUUGUACUGUUAGAAUGCUUCUUCCAGUGAUUUUUUCCUGUAUUUCUUCUUUCCAUUUUACUUGUUCUCAUCCAGAUCCUUUUCUCUCAUUUUAACUUUUUUUUAAUGUUAUAAUCACACAUUAAGUUUGAUGAUUUUGGAUGUCUUAUAAUUUUAACUUUUUCUAAUGUUAUAAUCACACAUUAGUUUGAUGAUUAAGAUGUCAAUGAAGUAAUAUUUCUCUGUUGGCAUUUGAGUGAUAUAUUAUCUGUAACUGAAGUUGUACUAUCUAAGGUGCAGUGUGAGCUGCAAUGUGAGGUAUGUACUGCACCGAAGCAAGGUGCAUGACAUUUAUUCAUAUGGGAACCCUGCCAAGUCUAAAUUCUCAACAGUUGCAUUAUUACUUAUUGUUAACAUUAAGUCAACCGUUGCUUACAGUGAUUGUUAAUCAUGUAAAAUCAAUUCAUGCUUUACUUCCAGGAGAAGAUGCUUUCCUCAAUGUGACAACUUAGAUUAUAUUUGAACUAAGAAAAAUAAUGGAGAUGUUCCAGGAGAAAUAGCUUGAUUGAGAAGCAGAAUAGAAAAAUGCAGAAACACCGAAGAAUUAGUGGAAAAGAUAAAUGAAUGCAAUCAAAGGGUAAUUCCAAAAAAGAGAAACAAAGUUGCAUAGUCUCCAUAGAACUAUAAAUGGAAUUUUAGUUUUUAAGAAAAUAUUGCUUUGUUAAUUUAUUUUGAUAAAGUGAAGUUACUAUUCGUGAAGGUCUUUGAACUUCUCUCAGGUAUUCAAACAAGUGAUUUUUUUGGAAAUUUGAACUAAGGCUCUAUGGUUGUCUGUAUCCCACCAUGGAGCUCUCCCUUGAAUCUUACUGUUUAAAUGUUGAUUAAUUUGCAGGCAAUGAGUGCAAGAUCGAUGCUGAGUUUUCUGACCGGUUCUUUAGCACUCUUUAAGCAUGUUCCUAAGGCUACCAAGUACUUCAACAUUAUAGUAAGUAUUGGUUAGUUUCAUCUUAUGCUCAAUUACAAUUUUCUAAGAUCAUUUUUUCUAUCAAACUACUUCCUAAUGACAUUUGCCUUCUCAAUCUUUUCCCUGUUGAUUAUAGUAAACGUGCAAAAAUAUUUUUGCUUUGGUAGUCCCUUGUAUUCUCUUUUGAUAUUUGGACUGUGAGGACACAAUCUCAUUUUCAGUUGGGGGUGCCUCCCUUGUACUCAUUUUGUUGAUUGUUUCUGCAUACUGCGAUUGUGCCCUUGUCGGGCGUACUUUUCCUCCUUGUUAUGGAUUGGUGUGCCCUUGUCGGGCUUUGAUAUUGUGGAUGUUUCUGUUGAUAUUGUGUUGGAUUGGUCUAUUUUAGUUUUUGAUUUGUAGUUUGUAGCUUCUUUGUUUUUUUUUUAUAAUAAGAUUUGGAUUAACGAUCCCCGAUGAUGGAUAGAGAGUGACGUCCUUCUUAAGGUUAAAUCAUCGAUUGCUUGUGAAUGUUUGAUUGGCGUUGAUUGUGGCGAAGUUUGAGUAGCCGUUCCCGAAUAGAUGCAUGAGGUUGCUUGUUGAUGGAUUGGUUGAUGACUUUAAGGGUAAAAUCAUCGUCAUUUUGGGAAGGUUUUGACUUGGUUGGUACUAAGAGCAUAGUCAUGCAUGUGAAUCAUGAGCAUACCUCUCCGUUUUUAUAAGGUUGAGCAUGUUAUGAAUGAUUUGUGACAACUCUUACAACUCUUUUUGUGACUUUUGAUUCGUUAGCGGUUAAAAUGUUCAGUGCUACUUGUAUUUUGAAAAGGAAGUAAGAUUUUGAACCAUCUUGAUUGAUUUGCAGGCCAUGUGUGGUGAGUUAUUGAAUAAUGCCUUGUGUUCGCUAUUGUCACCUAGAACUUGCCCGGUUGGUCUUGAAAUGUUGGUCUUGAUUGAGUUUGGUUGGAGAAAUGAUCUUAGGCUUUCUUUGAUGUUCUUGAAGUCCACUUUGUCUAAAAAUCCCACCUUUGCACUAAAUAUAUCCUUAGUUGUCCCCUUUGAGCCUAAUCCUUUUUAUUGGCAACCACAUUACAAGCCUUAUCCUUUUUGAAAAAAGUAACCCUCUUUUGAACCCUUCCCUCCUUGAACUUGAGGUUGUGAAAGUCGAGGCUAAAAGCCUAAGUUGGUGGUGUUAUGGGAAAUUCAUUGAAGUGAUCAAUGCUUACCAUAUCC
rnacentral:lncRNA from 1 species